CCGACCACGUGCCGCGAGCCCGGCGGGGAGAGCCCACUCCCGCGCCCCUUCCGGGCCCACUACCCCGCCGGGCUGUGGCCCAUCGCCCCAGUGCCUGGUAGCCUAGUUUUCUCGUUUGUCGUUUGUUCACUUAUUUAUUAUUAUUAUUAUUAUUUUGACUCGUAAUGGGUAUGAGGUGUAAGGGGGCCUAUUACGGAUGUUAAGGGGAGAGGGCACCGCUCGGGUUUUAAUAAGCAUCUGUGGAGCUCAUUUAUAAGAUUGGCAUCCUCUGCUUCUGCAGAAAACAUGGCUACCAACAGCUUCUGUAUCCACCUGCGGAGGAGACUGACUGCUCUGUUAUUCCCCCAGCAUCUGUGAAGAGGCUCUGACUGGCUAAAGUGAAGGAGUCUGUAGCUUUAGGGGAAGACAGAGCCACAAGAUGGAAGGAGCUUGGAUGUCUGAACUAUUCCAUGGAGAAAAGCUGCAGCCAACGAAGAACACCUGCAAUGGACUCUUAACCUGGGGGUGACGACAACCACUGAAAUAUGCUGCAUCUUAGUCCAGGGAUUUUUAAAGUGUGGUUCCUGGAAGAGCUGGAUCAGAGUCAUCUGUGUUGAUGGUUUAACAUAAAGAUUUUCGAGCCCCAAGACUCAAGUAGGACAAGGAAUUUGAAUUUUUAAGCAGCUCACCUGACUUGUCUGUCCUCUAAUGUCUGAAGACAUCUGACCUCUGCUCUUUCAGUAAAAGCAACAAUGGUUUUAUGAGCAUUGUCGUCACAUCUCUCCACUCAAGGGAUCCUUCUCAUUUCUCCCAGCUGAGGUCACCCACAGCUGCUGCUUCUAACUGCUGGCUUCCAGCCUGCUGUCUGCCAGCUGGCUCUACCCUCUCCUAUAACACGGCAGAGAGUAGCUGUGGUCUCCUGCGUGCUCACCCUCUGCUCCCUUGGUCCUGCUCCAUGCUUUGGUCCUGCACUUAAAUUUUACAAGCAUACUCUCUUUCUCUUAAGCUCGGCAGCACUCAGAUGGCUCUUGAAAAUCUUUGAGAUAUAAUCUGAAAGGAGGUCCCAGUUUCUGCCCCGGGCUGUUUGCAUCAUCAACCUGCAAAAUUCCAAUCUUGGAACUUGCUGAGAUUUUCAUUCUGAGACUCUCUGCCCUGGGCCUUGAGGAUAGCCAGAAGAAUACUAUAUUUCUUCUGCCUCUCUUUCUCUUUCUAUCUAAAGAGGUCAGGAUUAUAUAUCCACUUUGCUGAAUAUAGAAUCAAACCCAAUUGCCAUCAGCAAGUGCUGUAUAUCACCUACCACACCUGGGACCAGGCAUCAACAAGACCUUGACAGGGCCAGAAGCCUCAAGCCCUCAUUGCCAAGCCCAUUAAAAUCAGGAACUCAAUCUCAUUAAGGAAGGAGUGCAAUGGAUAUAGCCAGACAGGAGGAUUUCCACUUCAGUAUUAUCCUGAAUAGUGAACAACCAUCUCUGCUUUUCUCAGGGAGAAAGAUGUGGUAACAGUCACAAUGAUAGUAGACGAUGGUGACUGUUUAAUUUGUCAUGGCUAACAUAUAUGGUUAGCAAAUUGAGUUUCCUUUUAGGUAUAGUCUGAAUUGAACUGAAGUUCAUUAUAAUUCCCCUAAGUUGAUCUGUGAGGGCAUUUUAGCCUUCUUGGUAAAAUUAAAUAAUAUCAGUCAAAAAGGCUGUUAAACCAAUUCUUACACUUGAAAGCUUCCAGUUAUUCUAAUAAUUUGGAAUCUGUGUCUCCCCCUCUGUGGCAAUGAGGCUGUUGCUUGCUUUUCCCAAGAGACUGUAUUGCAUCUUUCUUGUUUUCUGAGAUGAGAAACAACCUCAAGGUCAUGCCCAGUGAUAUGGUUUGGCUCUGUGCCCCCACCCAAAUCUCAUCCCGAAUUGUAAUCCCCACAUGUCGGAGGAGGGGCUUGGUGGGAGGUGACUGGAUUAUGGGGGUGUAUUUACCCCUUGUUUUCAUGAUAGUGAGUUCUCAUGAGAUUUGAUGGUUUAAAACUGUGUGGCACCGCCCCCUGCAAGCUCCCUCUCUCUCCUGCCACCAAGUAAGACGUGCCUUGCUUCUUCUUUGCCUUCUGCCAUGAUUGUAAGUUUUCUGAGGCUUCCCCAGCCAUGCAGAACUGUGU
rnacentral:lncRNA from 1 species